GUAGGUGGCAAGCGUUGUCCGGAAUUAUUGGGCGUAAAGCGCGCGCAGGUGGUUCUUUAAGUCUGAUGUGAAAGCCCCCGGGCUCAACCGGGGAGGGUCAUUGGAAACUGGGGAACUUGAGUGCAGGAGAGGAAGGUGGAAUUCCACGUGUAGCGGUGAAAUGCGUAGAUAUGUGGAGGAACACCAGUGGCGAAGGCGACUUUCUGGCCUGUAACUGACACUGAGGCGCGGAAGCGUGGGGAGCAAACAGGAUUAGAUACCCUGGUAGUCCACGCCGUAAACGAUGAGUGCUAAGUGUUGGGGGGUUUCCGCCCCUCAGUGCUGCAGCUAACGCAUUAAGCACUCCGCCUGGGGAGUACGGUCGCAAAGACUG
rnacentral:rRNA from 1 species